rnacentral:rRNA from 1 species
UACGUAGGGCGCAAGCGUUGUCCGGAUUCACUGGGUGUAAAGGGUGCGCAGGCGGACUGGCAAGUCAGGGGUGAAAUCUCACAGCUCAACUGUGAAACUGCCUUUGAUACUGGCUAUCUUGAGUAUGGGAGAGGUGUGUGGAACUCCGAGUGUAGAGGUGAAAUUCGUAGAUAUUCGCAAGAACACCAGUGGCGAAGGCGGCUCACUGGCCCGAUACUGACGCUGAGGCACGAAAGCGUGGGGAGCAAACAGG